GACGAACGCUGGCGGCGUGCUUAACACAUGCAAGUCGAACGGAAAGGCCCUGCUUUUGUGGGGUGCUCGAGUGGCGAACGGGUGAGUAACACGUGAGUAACCUGCCCUUGACUUUGGGAUAACUUCAGGAAACUGGGGCUAAUACCGGAUAGGAGCUCCUGCUGCAUGGUGGGGGUUGGAAAGUUUCGGCGGUUGGGGAUGGACUCGCGGCUUAUCAGCUUGUUGGUGGGGUAGUGGCUUACCAAGGCUUUGACGGGUAGCCGGCCUGAGAGGGUGACCGGCCACAUUGGGACUGAGAUACGGCCCAGACUCCUACGGGAGGCAGCAGUGGGGAAUAUUGCACAAUGGGCGGAAGCCUGAUGCAGCAACGCCGCGUGCGGGAUGACGGCCUUCGGGUUGUAAACCGCUUUCGCCUGUGACGAAGCGUGAGUGACGGUAAUGGGUAAAGAAGCACCGGCUAACUACGUGCCAGCAGCCGCGGUGAUACGUAGGGUGCGAGCGUUGUCCGGAUUUAUUGGGCGUAAAGGGCUCGUAGGUGGUUGAUCGCGUCGGAAGUGUAAUCUUGGGGCUUAACCCUGAGCGUGCUUUCGAUACGGGUUGACUUGAGGAAGGUAGGGGAGAAUGGAAUUCCUGGUGGAGCGGUGGAAUGCGCAGAUAUCAGGAGGAACACCAGUGGCGAAGGCGGUUCUCUGGGCCUUUCCUGACGCUGAGGAGCGAAAGCGUGGGGAGCGAACAGGCUUAGAUACCCUGGUAGCCCACGCUGUAAACGGUGGGUACUAGGUGUGGGGUCCAUUCCACGGGUUCCGUGCCGUAGCUAACGCUUUAAGUACCCCGCCUGGGGAGUACGGCCGCAAGGCUAAAACUCAAAGGAAUUGACGGGGCCCCGCACAAGCGGCGGAGCAUGCGGAUUAAUUCGAUGCAACGCGUAGAACCUUACCUGGGUUUGACAUGGAUCGGGAGUGCUCAGAGAUGGGUGUGCCUCUUUUGGGGUCGGUUCACAGGUGGUGCAUGCCUGUCGUCAGCUCGUGUCGUGAGAUGUUGGGUUAAGUCCCGCAACGAGCGCAACCCUUGUUCACUGUUGCCAGCACGUUAUGGUGGGGACUCAGUGGAGACCGCCGGGGUCAACUCGGAGGAAGGUGGGGAUGACGUCAAGUCCUCAUGCCCCUUAUGUCCAGGGCUUCACGCAUGCUACAAUGGCUGGUACAGAGAGUGGCGAGCCUGUGAGGGUGAGCGAAUCUCGGAAAGCCGGUCUCAGUUCGGAUUGGGGUCUGCAACUCGACCUCAUGAAGUCGGAGUCGCUAGUAAUCGCAGAUCAGCAACGCUGCGGUGAAUACGUUCCCGGG
rnacentral:rRNA from 1 species